GACGAACGCUGGCGGCGUGCUUAACACAUGCAAGUCGAACGGAAAGGCCCUGCUUGCGUGGGGAGCUAGAGUGGCGAACGGGAGAGUUACCCGUGAGUAACCUGCCCUUGACUUUGGGAUAACUUCAGGCGGCUGGGGAUAACACAGGAUAGGAGCUCGUGCUGCAUGGUGGGGGUUGGAAAGUAUGGGAGGGUAGGGAUGGACGCUCGGCUUAUCAGCUUGUUGGUGGGGUAGUGGCUUACCAAGUGUUUGGCGGGUAGCCGGCAUGAGAGGGUAGCCGGCCUCAUGGCGACUGAGGUACGGCGCAGACUGCUACAUGAGGCAGUGGUCGGGAAUAUUGCACAAUGGGCGGAAGCGUGAGACAGCAACCUCGCGAUCGGGAAGACGGCCUUCUUGUUGUAAACCGCAUUCGCCUGUGACGAAGCUUGAGUGACGGUAAUGAGUGAAGAAGCACCGGCUAACUACGUG
rnacentral:rRNA from 1 species